AACGUAGAGAUGACGGUGCAGAAGAGCGCGUAGACAGGUGCUGCAUGGCUGUCGUCAGCUCGUGUCGUGAGAUGUUGGGUUAAGUCCCGCAACGAGCGCAACCCUUGUCAUUAGUUGCUACAUUCAGUUGGGCACUCUAAUGAGACUGCCGGUGACAAGCCGGAGGAAGGUGGGGAUGACGUCAAGUCCUCAUGGCCCUUAUAGGUGGGGCUACACACGUCAUACAAUGGCUGGUACAAAGGGUUGCCAACCCGCGAGGGGGAGCCAAUCCCAUAAAGCCAGUCGUAGUCCGGAUCGUAGUCUGCAACUCGACUACGUGAAGUCGGAAUCGCUAGUAAUCGUGGAUCAGAAUGUCACGGUGAAUACGUUCCCGGGUCUU
rnacentral:rRNA from 1 species